CACAGAUCAAACAUUUAUAACCCACAACAAUGGCAAAAAUAUGAUAUCCUGAAUUGCCAUGACAACUAGAAUCACUAUAUCCUUAUUUCAACACAAUCUGUCGUUUGGAAGAAUCAAAAUUAGUUAACCAAAUUGAGCAGUAAUGGUCACAGUUCGUAAAAGUAAUCCACUAAACCAUUGCUGAUAUCCCCUUUUCAUUGCAACAAUCUGCCCAAAG
rnacentral:misc_RNA from 1 species